CCUACGGGGGGCAGUAGUGAGGAAUAUUGGUCAAUGGACGAGAGUCUGAAGCAGCCAAGUAGCGUGAAGGAUGACUGCCCUAUGGGUUGUAAACUUCUUUUAUAAAGGAAUAAAACGAGGCACGUGUGCCUUUUCGCAUGUACUUUAUGAAUAAGGAUAGGCUAACUCCGCGCCAGCAGCCGCGGUAAUACGGAGGAUCCGAGCGUUAUCCGGAUUUAUUGGGUUUAAAGGGAGCGUAGAUGGGUUGUUAAGUCAGUUGUGAAAGUUUGCGGCUCAACCGUAAAAUUGCAGUUGAUACUGGCAGCCUUGAGUACAGUAGAGGUGAGCGGAAGUCGUGGUGUAGCGGUGAAAUGCUUAGAUAUCACGAAGAACUCCGAUUGCGAAGGCAGCCUGCUGGACUGUAACUGACGCUGAUGCUCGAAAGUGUGGGUAUCAAACAGGAUUAGAUACCCCAGUAGUC
rnacentral:rRNA from 1 species